UCAACCUUGAGCCCCUGGUCAGGAUCAAACUUGUAACCUUCUGGUUACAGGGCAGCAGUUUUACCACUGUGCCACCAGGGGCUCUUAAUAGCCACUGAUGGACCUGUCCUCCCUGAACUUCCCCUUCCCCACCUAGGCCAUUGACCAACAGUAUAAUGUAUUUCACCUGACCAUUUGGGGGGUGUUUUGGAGGAGGAAAGAAUUGCCACCCUGGUUCCCACAGAAAAGCAGAGUCUCCCUUUGGUUCUGGUCACUCACUCCAGUCACUCACCACCCAGACAACUGCAGCAAGUUCUUUGUCCUUGAGGAGAAAAGGGGAAUGAGGUCCUCCAAAUAUCCCGUGAGGCAUUCUGCUCCCAGUAGAAAGGCAACCCUCAAUACAAGCAGCAACUAUCCUGUGACUGGCCCUUCUAGCUGGAGAACUCUCUGAUAAACAUGUCCACUAGCAGCUGGGAACAGUUUUAAAAAGAGAACUCAACAUACGAUCAAACUCAGAGGUAGAACAGUUGCUGGUUUUGUCCCCCCUCGUUAAAAUCCCAUUUAAAAAGUCAGGCUGCCCACAUUUGUGUGGGCUGUGUUGGAGGGCUUCCUAUGAGUUAUUGCGAGCAGCAAAAGCUGAGUUUGCUGCCUUCUGCCUUGAUGUUGCUGAUUGUGAGAAUGAGCUCUAUAUCUUGUGAUGCCAGUUCCAGACUUUAACAAUGCACAGAGCUCAUUUGCACAAUCAGCAACAUAAAGGUAGGCAGCAAACCCAGCAGAAGGCAGCAAACCCAGCUUUUGUCUUAGAAGAGUUUUAGCCAUCCUAGCACAGGAUUUAACCCAUGCCAUGGCUUAGCCCUUCAAUCUCUUUCCAAUAGCAGAGUGGAGCCUUACAAUAUAUCAAGUUAGAAAUGAAGAAAACCGCUAGGUAACUUUGAUGUGUUCCCGCAUAUUAGGAUUAAGGAGCUAGUCUUCCAAGUCAGAUGCCUUGGCAGCACCAGAAAAUCUUUUUGAAGAAGAGGGCCACAGAAGAGGAAAAGCUCCUUGCAGGGCAGGGACUUUGUUCUACAUAUUAAUGCUCCCUGCACAUAAACAGCCCUUAGGGUACUGCCCUUUCAUGCUUUUAAAAAUAUAUUUAUUGAUAACUGACAACUUUUAUGAAGUAUCUAAAGACACAUCCAUCCAUCCAAGCUUUUAAACUCGAGGUCCAAUAAUGGAUAUAGCUAAACUGGCUGUGUUAUGACGUCUGAAAGUACAUAAGAAAGGACUGUGGAUGCUACUAUGUAACAGUGCCACCUGGUGAUGCAUACUGUGAAAAUAACCAUGCAGAAAGUGCCUCAGUAUUCCAAAGAAGCUUGUUACCCCUCAGCAGUGCCUCCAUCUCUUCAUUGUCAUUGUGUUACCUGAAGCAGCCUCCAUCCCCUCCCCAUGUGCACGGACCUUAACAGCCUGCGACCCACUGAGAGUCAAGCUGAGAGCAGUUCCAGCCCUGGAUGGUGGCAGACUAAGGCCCAGAUAGAUCUUCAGUUUCUACUGUCUGCUUGCAGCUGUAAAUAUGGAUCUUGCGCAUCACUCAGUGAAAAGUCACUCAAUGAAAUCAACAACGUUGGAUGGAAGUGCCAAGAAUGAACAGACUGUAUGACUGAAUGUGCAAAAAUUUACAGAAAAACAAAGUGAUACAAUGGGCAAGAUGCACAAUGGCAAGAAGAAUCUGAGGCAUGGAAGAUUUUAAAAUUUCAAUGGGAAAACAAACAUUGUGCUAUUUGUAGACAAUGAAUGAUUGUAUAGACAAUAAAUUCCUGGUGAUAACAUGUUUGAUUAAAUAGCUUUCUGUGUUGGGUCUGGGGCUUUCAUCCCAUAUUACUCUAAUUAAACUCAUAAUGCAAUAAUUGUAUUUAUUGACUCCCAUCUAGUUACUUUUGUAUAAGGAAGAUAUUACCAUACUAAUUUGUAGUCAUUUGCAUAUGGCCAUUCAGCAUCCAUCACAUUCAUUUGAUUGCAGCCUUGUACUUCCUGGGUGCCAGCCACUGAUCUCCCUCAUUCUGUCUCUUGCUAUCUUUCCAACAACUAUAUUAAUGCACUGCCCAUUGUUUGAAUGCAUUUUUCCUCUCCUCCAUCUCCUUCUUAACAUUUUUAAUCUCUAAUAAAUCUGUCUUUUCUAAGA